rnacentral:rRNA from 1 species
GACGAACGCUGGCGGCGUGCCUAAUACAUGCAAGUAGAACGCACAGUUUAUACCGUAGCUUGCUACACCAUAGACUGUGAGUUGCGAACGGGUGAGUAACGCGUAGGUAACCUGCCUGGUAGCGGGGGAUAACUAUUGGAAACGAUAGCUAAUACCGCAUAAUAUUAAUUAUUGCAUGAUAAUUAAUUGAAAGGUGCAAUUGCACCACUGCCAGAUGGACCUGCGUUGUAUUAGCUAGUAGGUGAGGUAACGGCUCACCUAGGCGACGAUACAUAGCCGACCUGAGAGGGGGAUCGGCCACACUGGGACUGAGACACGGCCCAGACUCCUACGGGAGGCAGCAGUAGGGAAUCUUCGGCAAUGGACGAAAGUCUGACCGAGCAACGCCGCGGGAGUGAAGAAGGUUUUCGGAUCGUAAAGCUCGGUUGUAAGAGAAGAACGGGUGUGAGAGUGGAAAGUUCACACUGUGACGGUAUCUUACCAGAAAGGGACGGCUAACUACGUG